ACUCCUACGGGAGGCAGCAGUGGGGAAUAUUGCACAAUGGGCGCAAGCCUGAUGCGGCCAUGCCGCGUGUGUGAAGAAGGCCUUCGGGUUGUAAAGCACUUUCAGUCGUGAGGAAGGUAGUGUAGUUAAUAGCUGCAUUAUUUGACGUUAGCGACAGAAGAAGCACCGGCUAACUCCGUGCCAGCAGCCGCGGUAAUACGGAGGGUGCGAGCGUUAAUCGGAAUUACUGGGCGUAAAGCGCAUGCAGGUGGUUGUUAAGUCAGAUGUGAAAGCCCGGGGCUCAACCUCGGAAUUGCAUUUGAAACUGGCAGACUAGAGUACUGUAGAGGGGGUAGAAUUUCAGGUGUAGCGGUGAAAUGCGUAGAGAUCUGAAGGAAUACCGGUGGCGAAGGCGGCCCCUGGACAGAUACUGACACUCAGAUGCGAAAGCGUGGGAGCAAACAGGAUUAGAUACCCCUGGUAGCGACUGA
rnacentral:rRNA from 1 species